rnacentral:rRNA from 1 species
CUCGAUAUUGAAAAGAUUCUGGAACGAACUUUUCGUUAAACGCAAGGUCUAAGGAUGAGUCGGCGGCGGAUUAGGCAGAUGGCGGUGUAAUGGACCACCAUACCUUAGAUCCGUAGGGGCCCUGAAAGGGGUAGCCCCGAGAGGGACACUGAAAUACUGGUCCCAGCUCCACGGAGUGCAGCAGGCGCGCAACCUCCACAAUGUGCGAAAGCAUGAUGGGGGGAUCCCGAGUGCUUACAUUUUUUGUAAGCUUUUGCCAAGAGCAAAUAUCUUGGAGAAUAAGUGGUGGGUAAGACCGGUGCCAGCAGCCGCGGUAACCCCGGCGCCACGAGUGGCAAUCUUAUAUUUGGCCUAAAGCAUUCGUAGCCGGUUUGAAAAAUCUUUUGUGAAAUCGUCGAACUCAAUACGACGGCAUGCAGGGGACACUUUCAGACUAGAGACUGGGAGGAGUUGGGGGUAUUUCUAGGGGAGCGGUUAAAUGCGAUAAUCCUAGAAAGACCACCUGUGGCGAAGGCGCCCAACUAGAACAGUUCUGACGGUGAGGGAUGAAAGCUAGGGGAGCGAUCCGGAUUAGAUACCCGAGUAGUCCUAGCCGUAAACACUGUGAGCUAGGUGUCGCAUAUUCUACGCGAAUAUGCGGUGUCGAAAUGAAGAUGCUAAGCUCACCGCC